AAUCUUCCACAAUGGACGAAAGUCUGAUGGAGCAACGCCGCGUGAGUGAAGAAGGUUCUCGGAUCGUAAAGCUCUGUUGUAAGGGAAGAACAAGUACAGGAGUAACUGUCUGUACCUUGACGUUACCUUACCAGAAAGCCACGGCUAACUACGUGCCUGCAUCCGCGGUAAUGCGUAGGUGGCCAGCGCUGUCCGGAAUUAUUGGGCGUAAUCGCGCGCAGGCGGUCCUUUAAGUCUGAUGUGAAAGCCCACGGCUCAACCGUGGAGGGUCAUUGGAAACUGGAGGACUUGAGUACAGAAGAGGAAAGCGGAAUUCCACGUGUAGCGGUGAAAUGCGUAGAGAUGUGGAGGAACACCAGUGGCGAAGGCGGCUUUCUGGUCUGUAACUGACGCUGAGGCGCGAAAGCGUGGGGAGCAAACA
rnacentral:rRNA from 1 species